AACGAACGCUGGCGGCAGGCCUAACACAUGCAAGUCGAACGCCGUAGCAAUACGGAGUGGCAGACGGGUGAGUAACACGUGGGAACGUACCCUUCGGUUCGGAAUAACUCAGGGAAACUUGAGCUAAUACCGGAUACGUCCGAGAGGAGAAAGAUUUAUCGCCGAGGGAUCGGCCCGCGUCUGAUUAGCUUGUUGGUGAGGUAACGGCUCACCAAGGCGACGAUCAGUAGCUGGCUGAGAGGAUGAUCAGCCACAUUGGGACUGAGACACGGCCCAAACUCCUACGGGAGGCAGCAGUGGGGAAUAUUGGACAAUGGGCGCAAGCCUGAUCCAGCCAUGCCGCGUGAGUGAUGAAGGCCCUAGGGUUGUAAAGCUCUUUUACCCGGGAAGAUAAUGACUGUACCGGGAGAAUAAGCCCCGCUAACUUCGUGCCAGCAGCCGCUGUAAC
rnacentral:rRNA from 1 species